rnacentral:rRNA from 1 species
UGGUGGAGCGAUUUGUCUGGUUAAUUCCGUUAACGAACGAGACCUCAGCCUGCUAAUUAGUUGGACCAAUGUUUCAUUGGGCUCAACUUCUUAGAGGGACUACCGGAUUUCAUCCGGGGGAAGUAUGAGGCAAUAACA